GGUCCGGUAGCUCAGUUGGAUUAGAGCAACAGCCUUCUAAGCUGUGGGUCUUGGGUUCGAAUCCCAACCGGAUCACAA
rnacentral:tRNA from 1 species